rnacentral:ncRNA from 1 species
UUUUUGGAGAGUUUGAUCUUGGCUCAGGACGAACGCUGGCGGCGUGCCUAAUACAUGCAAGUCGAGCGCGUGAAACUCACUGAACUCUUCGGAGGGACGUGAGUGGAUCGAGCGGCGGACGGGUGAGUAACACGUGGGCAACCUGCCUGUAAGACUGGGAUAACUCGCGGAAACGUGAGCUAAUACCGGAUAAUACUUUUAAUCACAUGGUUAGAAGAUGAAAGGCGGCUUUUGCUGUCACUUACAGAUGGGCCCGCGGCGCAUUAGCUAGUUGGUGAGGUAACGGCUCA